rnacentral:tRNA from 1 species
AUUUAUAUAGUAUAAAAAUUACAAAUGAUUUCCAAUCAUAAAAUCUAUUAAUUUAAUAGUAUAAAUA